AAAUGGAAGGGGAUUAUAUUAUUAAUGGGCAAAUUAUGCCAGAAAAAGAAAAAAAAGCACACAAAAUGUAUUUCUCUCAAAAGUUAGGGGCGAAAUUUAAAUUUUCAAUAACAAAAGAUGAAAUGUGAAAACGCAGAGAAAUAAUUUCUCAGAGAGAAGGGCCAAGGGCCUUAUCUACUUCUUCGGCUAGAACGCUCACAGCAUCUGAGCAAAGUCACGCAGAAAACCAGCCAUGUUCAAUCUUUCCACUGCAAUUGU
rnacentral:misc_RNA from 1 species